rnacentral:pre_miRNA from 1 species
UGGACAGAUUAUUGUAUUCGACUGUAUUCAUGACGUGAAAUAGGGGAUUACACUGUUUUUAAAACGGAAAGUGAAUCAAUUAACAUAAUAGACUCCA